rnacentral:misc_RNA from 1 species
GGGACCUUAAUCAACCACUGAAAUUGGUUAUCAUACGAAGUGAAGUCAAUUACAUUUUAAGGAAACCUUCCCAUUUCUACAAGAACUUCUGCAAACUCAGCCAAAAUUUCCCUGCAUCUACAAAAAAUCUAAGCCUCCUUUUAGUUUCACAAACCUGGCAAUGCAGGAUAGUGAUGCGUUAAAAAUUGGACUCCACAAAAUGGCAACUUCUCCUGAAAGCUACUAUAAAUUACGUUGUGGCCAUAGUUUCUCGCAAGAUGAGUGUAUAACGAAGUGAUGAAUCAAGGGUGGUGUUGAACCAAUAAAUUUGGUAUGAGUCCAAAACAUUUAGGGGCACUGAUGGGAUUUGUCAGAGCAACAGCAUCCAAUUUGUAGUGCCUUCAUUCUCCAAUUUCAUUCUGCUCAAAAUUCCACUUCUUCUGGAAAAACAGCUCUCCCUGAGUAGACAUACUGCAUUUCCUCUUUCCAUGUCUCAUGUCGAAAGGCAAUCCUCAUAUGAGGCACAUUUGUCUUCUGAAUAUCAUUUCCCUCAGGGCCUCUUAAAAAAAAUUUGCUACCGAGCCAACGCAACUUUGCCACAUGGGAGAAUCCAGAUUGAUAAACAGAGUUUCUUGCUAUCUCACACAGAUCACAUGAACUGAGCUUCCACACCUUUGCUGCAAUGCUGUACUCUUCCACCAAUGGUUCCCUUGUUAAAUGAAUUUGCAAAGGAUCAUCAGUUGAGAGUGAAACAUUCAGGCCACGCUGAAAGAACAUUGGAAAUGGGUUUCGAUGAUAAUCCAGGAAAAGGGAAUUGUUGCUCAAUGGUGACAUAGCCAAUCCAAUCUGAGCAAGGUAGUACAAGUAUUGCAAAACAGGAGAUUUCCGCAAGUUAAUCCCAUGAGAUAUAUUAUGGCAUAGAAGAAAUGCAGCAGCCAAAUGGUCAAUAUCACCAGCCUCUCCACAGUGUGGCCGAAAUUUUAUGGUCCGCAAUCCUUUAGAUUCACGAAGCUUAUUUAGAGUAUAUAGGUUCGCGUAGCAGUAAUAAGCAUAAUAAGAGUAGGCUGGAUUGAACUCAUUGGUCCAUUCAGCUGGUUUUGGCAUGUGCUUAGUUGGACGCCUUUCUGGUCUACUUUCAUCAUCAACAAUGUCUAAUCCCACAACCUGCAUUAGGAAUACAUGCAGCUGAGGAUGAGAGCUUGGAUCGAUUGUGACUUCAAAUAGUGGAAUGAAAACAUUCUCAAGAAUAUUCUGAAAAGAUUUAACUGUGCCCAUUUGCUUGUACACAUUGUAUAGCCGUGGUAGCUGGAUUAACCAAACAGCAUUCUCACUAUAAAUAGCAUUGUUAAUGAACCAACUUGCUAGCUGGUCCCAUUCACUUUGUUUCCUUCCAUAAAUGGAAACCCUGUACUCAGCCAUCUGGUAUCUGCUUGCUUCAAGAUCUGAUAGAACUUCU